AGGUAAUAAUGCAACUGAUAGAUUGGCUAACCUAGGAGUCGUCCUUGAGGAGAGGGUGGUUUAUUUCGACGAUCACCCCAUCGAAAUAAACAACCUAAUCCGGAAGGACAUAGUUGGGGUGACAUAAAUUAAGCAAAAAAUCGUAUACUUGUAUAUAGUACUCUGUUUGGGGUGUUAAAAAAUUAGAAGAAAAGAGGGUGGGGUAUGGUAUGGUACGGUUAAUAUAGAAUAGGGGUUUAGUUAUUUGGCUAAUGACUAAAAGAGCUAUAUGAAUGAAGAAUUGAAGGAUAUUAAUAAACGUGUCCACCUACUCUAUACUUUUUUUUUUUUUUUUUUUUUUUGUGAAAACCUACUCUAUACUCUUUUCUCACUUCUAUUCUAGGGUUUUAGUUUACUAUUACUAUUAUUAUAGUAAGUAUGGUAGUACUAGUUACUUAAAAUAGAAUUAAAUUGAUUUGUAACAAGCUAAUUGGAGGUAGCACUAGUUAUUAGUUAUAAUAUAUAAUGGGCAGAUUGAUUUGUACGUAAUCAUGAAAUUUAGGAUUUAAUUGAAUCGAUUCGUUACUGAUUAAAAGAAUUGUUUAUAUCUGUAACUCUUAUAUAAGUCCGGAGUUCAUCUACUGUAGCACCAAAAAUACUCCAAAUUUACUGUUCGUUAGGAACAGGAAAAUACCACCCCUGCCCUUUGUCUCCCUUGCUGAAGCACCAAAAUUCCAGGGGUAGGAUUGUCUUUUUAGUUUCCUUCGUUACUUGGUGUCCAUGUGUUUGCUCUCUCUUCAUUCACUUUCUCUCUCCUCAAUUGAAGAGUUCUUCUUCAACUGCUCUAGACUUUCUUCAAUCGAAUCAGAGCAAAGCAAGCAAUAAAUCAAUCAUGCCUUCCACUAAUUUGCUCCUCCAAGUACCAACUUGUAUGGCUUCAAUUCUUUUGUACGGACUUUGUUAAUGAGAUCUUUUGAGGCUCGAAACUCACAAUUUGUAUGUGACCAACUGUUCUGCGAAAGAUGUCAGUUUUCCUUCUAAACAGGCGAUGCCGGAAAUUGGGAGCCAUUCAACCCGAUGAUUUGAUUAACCAGUGACCGUUACUUGUUGGAUUCGGAAGUUUUCGCCGGAGAUGAGUUGGAAUCCGCGCUAAUGUUUCCGGCGAUGGAAAGGAUGCUUGGGUUUUCGAUGGUGUUGAAACCCUUCUCUUUAAUUUACCUUAUUAUGAGCAUGGAUAUGGAUUAGGGAUGAGCUGAAUGCUUAAUCUGUUGCUGUAAAAUAUUCUUACAGUGAUGAUCGGCAUGUCAGGCAUUGGAUGGCAACCACUUAGAUUUUCUUAAAAUAGUAUCAGUAGAUGAGCUCCAAGGCCGGUCAUCCAGGCUAUCAACAUCAUGAUCAAUGAGAGGGUGUUGAUUAGGGGAAGGGGGUAUUUUGUGACCCAAUGCAUCAUAAAAAGGUUUUUCAGUAGCUUGAAGGGCUAAAGGAUCAUCUUGCUCAUCUAGCAGAUGAUUAUGCAGGACCUACCAAGCAAAUUACAGAAUUAAUUCAUGGUUAUGCUUUACAAAAUAUUAUUUUUGGAAACCAUGUUGCCCCAAAUGUAAAAAAACAUGACGGUGAAGUUGUUUCAACUUUUUAGGUGUCGCUUUCUAUGCUCCUAUGUUUUCUGUGUACCCCUUCUUAUCUAUAUGCUCUUAUAAGUUUGCUUUUCCAUGUUUGAGUAAUAAAACUUUCCUGUCAAUAAAUAUAUAAUACUAUCUUUUUUGCUACAUGAAGGCAUUGGAUGGCAACCACUUAGAUUUUCUUAAAAUAGUAUCAGUAGAUGAGCUCCAAGGCCGGUCAUCCAGGCUAUCAACAUCAUGAUCAAUGAGAGGGUGUUGAUUAGGGGAAGGGGGUAUUUUGUGACCCAAUGCAUCAUAAAAAGGUUUUUCAGUAGCUUGAAGGGCUAAAGGAUCAUCUUGCUCAUCUAGCAGAUGAUUAUGCAGGACCUACCAAGCAAAUUACAGAAUUAAUUCAUGGUUAUGCUUUACAAAAUAUUAUUUUUGGAAACCAUGUUGCCCCAAAUGUAAAAAAACAUGACGGUGAAGUUGUUUCAACUUUUUAGGUGUCGCUUUCUAUGCUCCUAUGUUUUCUGUGUACCCCUUCUUAUCUAUAUGCUCUUAUAAGUUUGCUUUUCCAUGUUUGAGUAAUAAAACUUUCCUGUCAAUAAAUAUAUAAUACUAUCUUUUUUGCUACAUGAAGGCAUUGGAUGGUGUAGUGAAAGAUGAAUUUUUUCAUGAAGAGUGGAGAACUCAGAGCUCAAUGAGUGGGCGCUAUUUUCUUGACAACCAGGAGCUCUUUCUCCCGUUGCUCCCAGUUGGGAAAUAUUAUGAUAAGUCAAUUACGGUCAGAAAUCCCAGCCAGCAACCUGUUGUAGUGCAGCUUAUACUAAACUCAAUAGAAACUGUUGAUAAUUGCAAACCUGUUAUGGUCAUCAACAGACACCUUCUGCAAGUAGCUCUACCUGUAAUGAUUCCACCAGGAUGAGUAUGUGUGGGUUUUCAGUAGCAGACGGUAUAGUUACAGAGGCCUUUCUACAUCCAAAUGGCACAGCAUGAUUGGGUCCUAUCUAUUUUCAUCCUUCAGAUAUAUGUGAAUGGAAGAGCUCGGCGUUCAUAAAGAGUAAUCUUUCUGGUCUGGAGAUAUUAUCUCUGCAUGGAUCGGGUGGAUUCUUUUCCUUAGUCUUGCUCAAGGGUUCAGAACAUGUGCAAAGAUUGGAUUUUACUAUGAACUAUCCUCUAAAUAUAUCCAACUAUGAGGAUGCUAUAUCUGCCUGUCGUAAGCCAUUAUUAAAGAAGGUCUUUGCUUUUAAUGCAGGUGAUUACCCUGUCAAUGUCAAGAGAAUAGAUGUCUCAGGAAGAGAAUGUGGAUUGGAUGGUUUUGUUGUACAUAAUUGCCAGGUUUUUUCUCUGAAACCUGGAGAAUCUUCGGAGCUUGGGCUAUCAUACCAACCGGAUCUUUCUGGGUCUGUGGUACAAAGGGAGCUCGAAUUGAUUCUAGAUGCUGGAAUACUUGUAAUACCAAUGCAAGCAAGUAUACCUCCAAAUUCACUUAAUGUAUGUGUAGAUUCCUUCUUUUGGUCUCCUGUAAAAUGUUGCUUGGCAAUCGGUUUUGUCAUAAUCUUACUCUCUCUCUCUUCGUUUCAAAA